CGAUGGGGGGACGCAGUAGGAUAGGCGAAGCGUACGAUUGGAUUGUACGUCUAAGCAGUGAGAUUGAGUGUUAGGCAAAUCCGGCACUCUUAAGAUUGAGCUGUGAUGGGGAGAGGAAAUUGUUUCCUCGAGUCGUUGAUUUCACACUGCCGAGAAAAGCCUCUAGAUAGAUAAUAGGUGCCCGUACCGCAAACCGACACAGGUAGUCAAGAUGAGAAUUCUAAGGUGAGCGAGCGAACUCUCGUUAAGGAA
rnacentral:rRNA from 1 species